AAAUUCACCCUUACAGUUUGAUCCUGGCUCAGAUUGAACGCUGGCGGCAGGCCUAACACAUGCUAUUCAAACGGUGCACAGGAAACAGCUUGUCUGUUUCUCUGACGAGUGGCGGACGGGUGAGUAAUGUCUGGGAAACUGCCUGAUGGAGGGGGAUAACUACUGGAAACGGUCUCUUAUACCUUAUAACGUCGCAAGACCAAAUAAGGGGACCCCCGGGCCUCUUGCCAUCGAAUGUGCCCAUAUGGCAUUAUCUUGGUGGUGGGGUAACAGCUCACACAAGCAACUAACCAUAGCUGGGCUGAGACGGUGACCCGGCUCCCUGGAGCUGAUACACGGCUCAGACAUCUUCCGUGGGCGUCAAGGGGGAAUAUUGUUCAUUGGGCUGCAGCCUGAUACACCCAUGCU
rnacentral:rRNA from 1 species